AACCGCGUGACACGAUUUGACGUGACGACGGAAAUGGUGGACAAGGUGUAUUUCAGCACAAAAAACACCAUAUUUUGUUUAUUACUAUAGGCCCAGGGUAUAUUCGUGAUGUAGGUAUCAACAAAACUACUAAGAUGACCGACAAAUCUCUACUGCAAGAUACAUUAUAUGUAUCAAAGAAUCAAUUGCACUAUGCAACGACAGAGCAUGACCAAUGUUUAAGACAAGAAAAGUUGGAACAUCUUAGAGUUGAAAGAGUAAUCCUGGUGAAAGAACACAGACAACUAUUGUAUUAU